rnacentral:rRNA from 1 species
GGAGCUUGCUCCACCGGAAAAAGAGGAGUGGCGAACGGGUGAGUAACACGUGGGUAACCUGCCCAUCAGAAGGGGAUAACACUUGGAAACAGGUGCUAAUACCGUAUAACAAUCGAAACCGCAUGGUUUUGAUUUGAAAGGCGCUUUACGGUGCCGCUGAUGGAUGGACCCGCGGUGCAUUAGCUAGUUGGUGAGGUAACGGCUCACCAAGGCCACGAUGCAUAGCCGACCUGAGAGGGUGAUCGGCCACAUUGGGACUGAGACACGGCCCAAACUCCUACGGGAGGCAGCAGUAGGGAAUCUUCGGCAAUGGACGAAAGUCUGACCGAGCAACGCCGCGUGAGUGAAGAAGGUUUUCGGAUCGUAAAACUCUGUUGUUAGAGAAGAACAAGGAUGAGAGUAACUGUUCAUCCCUUGACGGUAUCUAACCAGAAAGCCACGGCUAACUACGUGCCAGCAGCCGCGGUAAUACGUAGGUGGCAAGCGUUGUCCGGAUUUAUUGGGCGUAAAGCGAGCGCAGGCGGUUUCUUAAGUCUGAUGUGAAAGCCCCCGGCUCAACCGGGGAGGGUCAUUGGAAACUGGGAGACUUGAGUGCAGAAGAGGAGAGUGGAAUUCCAUGUGUAGCGGUGAAAUGCGUAGAUAUAUGGAGGAACACCAGUGGCGAAGGCGGCUCUCUGGUCUGUAACUGACGCUGAGGCUCGAAAGCGUGGGGAGCAAACAGGAUUAGAUACCCUGGUAGUCCACGCCGUAAACGAUGAGUGCUAAGUGUUGGAGGGUUUCCGCCCUUCAGUGCUGCAGCUAACGCAUUAAGCACUCCGCCUGGGGAGUACGACCGCAAGGUUGAAACUCAAAGGAAUUGACGGGGGCCCGCACAAGCGGUGGAGCAUGUGGUUUAAUUCGAAGCAACGCGAAGAACCUUACCAGGUCUUGACAUCCUUUGACCACUCUAGAGAUAGAGCUUCCCCUUCGGGGGCAAAGUGACAGGUGGUGCAUGGUUGUCGUCAGCUCGUGUCGUGAGAUGUUGGGUUAAGUCCCGCAACGAGCGCAACCCUUAUUGUUAGUUGCCAUCAUUUAGUUGGGCACUCUAGCAAGACUGCCGGUGACAAACCGGAGGAAGGUGGGGAUGACGUCAAAUCAUCAUGCCCCUUAUGACCUGGGCUACACACGUGCUACAAUGGGAAGUACAACGAGUCGCGAAGUCGCGAGGCUAAGCUAAUCUCUUAAAGCUUCUCUCAGUUCGGAUUGUAGGCUGCAACUCGCCUACAUGAAGCCGGAAUCGCUAGUAAUCGCGGAUCAGCACGCCGCGGUGAAUACGUUCCCGGGCCUUGUACACACCGCCCGUCACACCACGAGAGUUUGUAACACCCGAAGUCGGUGAGGUAACCUUUUUGGAGCCAGCCGCCUAAGGUG